CAUGGUUUGGUAGGAACCGUGCUCACUCAAAAUUUAAGCUCUGCUUUGUAGACUUUUAUUUAUGUAGUUAAUCAGUGGUGUGCCAAGCAGAGGGUAAACUGAUAAAAGUAAUGCCUUUUGGAAGAGACGCUAACCUGAGAUGCUGCCAGCCCUCUCAGAGGACGUAAAGUUCCCAUGGAGCUAUUCCACGAGAAACAGGUUUCUUGAUGGCUACCUGUGAGGAAGCAAAUCUCAAGGUUAUAUGUAAAAGUACAUGAAUGGCAUACGUCAUUGUGCCACCGCGUCACAUGCAUGAGUCUCCCUAAAAGUAAGAACAAGAUGCUGCCUGGCCUGCUGAGUUCCUCCAGCAUUUUGUGUGUGUCACAUGGAAGCUGUGCUUCGCAAACAUAGAAAUCCUUAUUCGCAAAUCCCCAGAAACAAGAGUUCAGGAGAAUCCAAAUGAACCUCAUUCUCCUGACAUGAUAUUUUCUUCAACAUAAAGAUAAGAAUAAGUGAUUAAAGAACAGUUUCAAUUGCUGUAAUUACCAACUUAACUUCAACAUUUUCAAUACAGUCAGGGAACUGUACAGAAUUACAUAUUUACAAUGGUGGUAUGUCCUAACUAGCAGAACCUCUCAGAAUAUUUAACACUGGUAUCUGUUUUAGAAGUCUGAGUACAAAUUCCAGACAUUCAAAAUAUACCACUUCUGUUACAGUGUUACACACUUGCUGUGUGACUGCACACUCCGGCUGUGUGGCAAAUAAAGCACAACAUCGUCUCUUCCACCUCAGGAGAAAUUCGGCUUGAGCCUCCAAAUCGUCAAGACCUUCUACAGGGGCACCAUUGAGAGCAUCCUGACUGGUUGUAUCAUCAGAACUACACCAAUCUUGAUCGCUGGGUACUGCAGAGAGUGGUACAGACAGCCCAGCGCAUUAGUGGAUGUGAACUUCUCUCCACUGAGGGCAUUUAUAGCAGCAGGUGUGGAAAGAAGACCUGGGAGAUCAUCGGGGUCAACAGUCACCCUGACCAUAAACUGUUUUCAGCUGCUUCCAUUUGGCAAACAGUACCACAGCAUUAAAGCCAGAACCAUCAGGCUAUGGGACAGCUUCUUUCUACAAGACAUUACACUUAUAAAUUCACAUGUCUGUAUAUUGCCACUGAGUCAUAAUGCAAAGAUCUUUACUCCUUCAUGUGUGAGAUGGAUGUAAAAUUUAAAAAAUUCUAAAUUCUAAAUUAAAGAAUGACCACAUGAAUAUACAACUAACCAGGAACAAAACAGAUCUGUCCUGAAUUGUGCACUUAAGUUAACAAAAUGCUAAUA